ACUAAGAUGAAACUUAUAAUUUUGAACAAUCAUGAUAUUUUUAUCCCUCUAAGAAGUCCUGAGUCC